rnacentral:rRNA from 1 species
GACGAACGCUGGCGGCGUGCCUAAUACAUGCAAGUCGAGCGCAGGAAAUCGACGGAACCCUUCGGGGGGAAGUCGACGGAAUGAGCGGCGGACGGGUGAGUAACACGUAAAGAACCUGCCCUCAGGUCUGGGAUAACCACGAGAAAUCGGGGCUAAUACCGGAUGGGUCAUCGGACCGCAUGGUCCGAGGAUGAAAGGCGCUCCGGCGUCGCCUGGGGAUGGCUUUGCGGUGCAUUAGCUAGUUGGUGGGGUAGUGGCUCACCAAGGCGACGAGGCAUAGCGGACCUGAGGGGGUGAUCGGCCACACUGGGACUGGGACACGGCCCAGACUCCUACGGGAGGCAGCAGUAGGGAAUCUUCCACAAUGGACGAAAGUCUGAUGGAGCAACGCCGCGUGAACGAUGAAGGCCUUCGGGUCGUAAAGUUCUGUUGUAAGGGAAGAACAAGUGCCGCAGGCAAUGGCGGCACCUUGACGGUACCUUGCGAGAAAGCCACGGCUAACUACGUGCCAGCCGCCGCCGUAACAC